AGCGAACGCUGGCGGCAGGCUUAACACAUGCAAGUCGAGCGGGCAUCUUCGGAUGUCAGCGGCAGACGGGUGAGUAACACGUGGGAACGUACCCUUCGGUUCGGAACAACUCUGGGAAACUGGAGCUAAUACCGGAUACGCCCUUAUGGGGAAAGGUUUACUGCCGAAGGAUCGGCCCGCGUCUGAUUAGCUGGUUGGUGGGGUAACGGCCUACCAAGGCGACGAUCAGUAGCUGGUCUGAGAGGAUGAUCAGCCACACUGGGACUGAGACACGGCCCAGACUCCUACGGGAGGCAGCAGUGGGGAAUAUUGGACAAUGGGCGCAAGCCUGAUCCAGCCAUGCCGCGUGAGUGAUGAAGGCCUUAGGGUUGUAAAGCUCUUUUGUCCGGGACGAUAAUGACGGUACCGGAAGAAUAAGCCCCGGCUAACUUCGUG
rnacentral:rRNA from 1 species